AGCUUUGCGCAGUGGCAGUAUCCUAGCCAAUGAGGUUUAUCCGAGGCGCGAUUAUUGCUAAUUGAAAACAUUUGGUUCUCAAAAGCUAGAAGAAAGAAUUGGCAACACAGGCAGAGUUGGGUGUG
rnacentral:snRNA from 1 species